rnacentral:lncRNA from 10 species
AGGAGGAUGUGGGCCUCUCUGACACUGCGAGUGACCGAACCCUGCUCCCGCGGUGGGUGGGGUCGGGGGCGAGAACUCGUUUGGGCUCGGCCGGCUGGUGCCGGAGUCUGGAGGGACAUCUGUUGACGUCGUUCGCCCCUGCUAAGUCCUUGGCGUUCGGUUCAUCAUCAUCUCUCCCAGAAGAGUCUCCUGAGAAAAGUGGCAACCCUUCUUGUAUCUAAAGUUUUUCUUAGACACCCAGAAGAUUACUAAUUAGGAGAAACUUAGCUUUGCAGAAAUACCUGGCCUUUCCUUAGCUCUUGCUGCUUGCAAUUUAAAUUUGCCCUCAAAGCAGGGAGCUCCUAGAUGUUCGAGUUCUUUUUUCAACCAUGCCACAGCUGUGUGGUUUUGUUGUGGUGAGAAGACUAAGGCACUGAAGUAUUUUUUAAAUGAAAGGAUUUUCACUGAUGAAAUGUUGAAAAUGGGACUGCAGCUAGAAGGCUGUCUUGAAUUGAGGCUGGAAUACAGAUUUCUGCAUGUCCGUCACUCUGGGAGAGUGGCUGGAAGAGGUUUCAAGCUGUUUUUUGUUGUUUUUUUUGAGACAGUCUUGCUCUGUCGCCCAGGCUGGAGUGCAGUGGCGCGAUCUGGGCUCCGCCUCCCGGGUUCACGCCAUUCUUCUGCCUCAGCCUCCCGAGUAGCUGCGACUACAGGCGCCCGCCACCACACCGGCUAAUUUUUUUGUAUUUUUAGUAGAGACGGGGUUUCACCGUGUUAGCCGGGAUGGUCUCGAUCUCCUGACCUCGUGAUCGGCCCGUCUCGGCCUCCCAAAGUGCUGGGAUUACAGGCAUGAGCCACCGCGCCCGGCCUCAAGCUGCUUUUAAGUCCAAAUGGUAUUUGGUUAAUCCUCUCCGUUCAGAUUUCUGUAAUGUAACACAUGAAAGUUUACAAUUCUUUAGAAACAGACAAUGCCGUGCUUUCAAAGUGGGUGUAAAACACAGCCCUCCAUAUUAACUCCCGCGUUGUCCCGAUAAGGUUGGUAGACCUAGAAACUUAGGCAUAAAGAGAUUGCUUAACUUCGCUUUAAUGCUUUUAUGUAGAACCCAGUGCACCCCAUUUUUGAGAAGUGCCUGGAAUGUGGAGUUGCAUGCUUGCAACUAGAGUUAAACAGAGAAAAAGUAGUUCCGGAAGGAGAGCAACUGACCCUUAACUCGACCUCAGGGGCCUUUAGGCACUCAGAACUGAAACUUGGAUAGUUUGUAAGGGAUAAGCUUGUCCAUUCAUAGUUAUAUGUACAAAUAAAAAGAGCCUCAGUGAAGUUAGUUACCUAUAAUGUGGGAGUUAAGGAUGGGUUUAUAACACAAUAUGUAUUUAAUGUAUUUGUUCAAUGAAAAGAAAAAAAUGUUACCUAGUUGUUGGCCUGAUGAACAUUGGCAUUUUAUAAUGCACAAAUUGUCCCAAACCAGUUGGUAUUUAAUUACAUUUGUUUGGUUUCUGCAUAAUAAACAAGUCUUCCGAUUACUUUCUACAUUUAUGUUUACUGUGAAAGCAACUAUUUUUAUUUCACUCACUACCAC